rnacentral:misc_RNA from 1 species
CACAAUAAAAUAUGAAGGCUGUACGCGGCUGUGCUCUCGGGCCAGUUUUGCGAAGGCUGAAUUAUUUAUUACCCUUGUCUUUUGCGCACUUGUUGUUUCCUGGGCGGGUUCGCCCGCCACCAGGACCACAUCAUAAACCUUUUUUAUGCAGUUGCAAUCAGCGUCAGUAUAACAAAUGUAAAUCAUUUA